rnacentral:rRNA from 1 species
CAUGGCUCAGAUUGAACGCUGGCGGCAGGCCUAACACAUGCAAGUCGAACGGUAACAGGAAGCAGCUUGCUGCUUUGCUGACGAGUGGCGGACGGGUGAGUAAUGUCUGGGAAACUGCCUGAUGGAGGGGGAUAACUACUGGAAACGGUAGCUAAUACCGCAUAACGUCGCAAGACCAAAGAGGGGGACCUUCGGGCCUCUUGCCAUCGGAUGUGCCCAGAUGGGAUUAGCUAGUAGGUGGGGUAACGGCUCACCUAGGCGACGAUCCCUAGCUGGUCUGAGAGGAUGACCAGCCACACUGGAACUGAGACACGGUCCAGACUCCUACGGGAGGCAGCAGUGGGGAAUAUUGCACAAUGGGCGCAAGCCUGAUGCAGCCAUGCCGCGUGUAUGAAGAAGGCCUUCGGGUUGUAAAGUACUUUCAGCGGGGAGGAAGGGAGUAAAGUUAAUACCUUUGCUCAUUGACGUUACCCGCAGAAGAAGCACCGGCUAACUCCGUGCCAGCAGCCGCGGUAAUACGGAGGGUGCAAGCGUUAAUCGGAAUUACUGGGCGUAAAGCGCACGCAGGCGGUUUGUUAAGUCAGAUGUGAAAUCCCCGGGCUCAACCUGGGAACUGCAUCUGAUACUGGCAAGCUUGAGUCUCGUAGAGGGGGGUAGAAUUCCAGGUGUAGCGGUGAAAUGCGUAGAGAUCUGGAGGAAUACCGGUGGCGAAGGCGGCCCCCUGGACGAAGACUGACGCUCAGGUGCGAAAGCGUGGGGAGCAAACAGGAUUAGAUACCCUGGUAGUCCACGCCGUAAACGAUGUCGACUUGGAGGUUGUGCCCUUGAGGCGUGGCUUCCGGAGCUAACGCGUUAAGUCGACCGCCUGGGGAGUACGGCCGCAAGGUUAAAACUCAAAUGAAUUGACGGGGGCCCGCACAAGCGGUGGAGCAUGUGGUUUAAUUCGAUGCAACGCGAAGAACCUUACCUGGUCUUGACAUCCACGGAAGUUUUCAGAGAUGAGAAUGUGCCUUCGGGAAUCGUGAGACAGGUGCUGCAUGGCUGUCGUCAGCUCGUGUUGUGAAAUGUUGGGUUAAGUCCCGCAACGAGCGCAACCCUUAUCCUUUGUUGCCAGCGGUCCGGCCGGGAACUCAAAGGAGACUGCCAGUGAUAAACUGGAGGAAGGUGGGGAUGACGUCAAGUCAUCGUGGCCCUUACGACCAGGGCUACACGCGUGCUACAAUGGCGCAUACAAAGAGAAGCGACCUCGCGAGAGCAAGCGGACCUCAUAAAGUGCGUCGUAGUCCGGAUUGGAGUCUGCAACUCGACUCCAUGAAGUCGGAAUCGCUAGUAAUCGUGGAUCAGAAUGCCACGGUGAAUACGUUCCCGGGCCUUGUACACACCGCCCGUCACACCAUGGGAGUGGGUUGCAAAAGAAGUAGGUAGCUUAACCUUCGGGAGGGCGCUUACCACUUUGUGAUUCAUGACUGGGGUGAAGUCGUAACAAGGU